ACAAAAAUAAUAAUUUCACUCUGGGAUUUUAGACUAAAAUCAGCUUUUAAAAAAGAUGUUUUUGUGAGUUUAAUAUCCUUUGCAAUAUGCAAGAAAUUCAAGUGGUGAUAUAACGAUAAUGCGAUGAUCAUGGAAGUAUGAAGAAGAAAAGAAGGAAGGGGAAUUUCCUUGUUCCGUGUCCCGGAUACUUAAAGCUAUGGUAAGGUGUCUGGAUAAAAAUCUCGAUAGAAAUCUUAUUUUGUAUUUUGUCUUUCCUCAGUACCGGAACAAGUACAAGAAGACACGGGGUCAGUGGCAUAUUCCGGAAACGCGUUCCGAUGGAGCGUAAAGACCCAAUUCGCCAUACCCAUUGUUUCAACAGCUGUGAAAACAGACACCAUCAAGAAUACCACCUACAUUGCAUUUUCUGACUGACACCUUCUGCGUUCCAGUUGUACUAGCUACGGACGAAUCUUUUUGAAUCGACUGGAGGAACACUAAUACAAGGAGAACCAAUUCUUUGCUUUUCUCCAGACUGCUUGUUGGUACCGCAGCCAGUCAAGCUCUUCUCAGUUGGCCCCGGAACUGCAAAUACAGUAAUCCGCUUUAUUCGCUAGGUACCGUAAAGAAAUUGCAACAUCCAUAGAUCCAGACGCUUCAUGACAUUCACCACAGCGACCUACGACCACAGCAGCGGAUAGAACUGCAUUCAGGUCCAUGCAGCAAAUGGAAAAUUCCGGAACAAAGCCAAUAGGGCAAUUAUUG